rnacentral:rRNA from 1 species
GAUGAACGCUGGCGGCGUGCCUAAUACAUGCAAGUCGAGCGAACGGACGAGAAGCUUGCUUCCCUGAUGUUAGCGGCGGACGGGCGAGUAACACGUGGAUAACCUACCUAUAAGACUGGGAUAACUUCGGGAAACCGGAGCUAAUACCGGAUAAUAUUUUGAACCGCAUGGUUCAAAAGUGAAAGACGGUCUUGCUGUCACUUAUAGAUGGAUCCGCGCUGCAUUAGCUAGUUGGUAAGGUAACGGCUUACCAAGGCAACGAUGCAUAGCCGACCUGAGAGGGUGAUCGGCCACACUGGAACUGAGACACGGUCCAGACUCCUACGGGAGGCAGCAGUAGGGAAUAUUCCGCAAUGGGCGAAAGCCUGACGGAGCAACGCCGCGUGAGUGAUGAAGGUCUUCGGAUCGUAAAACUCUGUUAUUAGGGAAGAACAUAUGUGUAAGUAACUGUGCACAUCUUGACGGUACCUAAUCAGAAAGCCACGGCUAACUACGUG